rnacentral:misc_RNA from 1 species
GAUGAAGAACGUAGUGAAAUGCGAUAAGUAAUGUGAAUUGCAGAAUUCAGUGAAUCAUCGAAUCUUUGAACGCACAUUGCGCCCGCUAGUAUUCUGGCGGGCAUGCCUGUUCGAGCGUCAUUUCAACCAUCAAGCCCCAGGCUUGUGUUGGGGGCCUGCGGCUGCCGCAGCCCCUGAAAAGCAGUGGCGGGCUCGCUGUCAUUCCGAGCGCAGUAGUUACAUCUCGCUCCGGGCGUGGCGGUGGGCACCUGCCGUGAAACACUCCUUCUAAGGUUGACCUCGGAUCAGGUAGGAAUACCCGCUGAACUUAAGCAUAUCAAUAACGGAGGA